rnacentral:tRNA from 1 species
GACCGCAUGACGCAGUGGAUUAGCGCGUUUGACUUCGGAUCAAAAGGUUGCGAGUUCGACUCCACUGUGGUCG